rnacentral:rRNA from 1 species
AACGUGGGGAACCGUGCCCCACUAGUCUGGGAUACCACUUGGAAACAGGUGCUAAUACCGGAUAAGAAAGCGGAUCGCAUGAUCAGCUUUUAAAAUUAGCGGCGUAAGCUGUCGCUAUGGGAUGGCCCCGCGGUGCAUUAGCUAGUUGGUAAGGUAAAGGCUUACCAAGGCGAUGAUGCAUAGCCGAGUUGAGAGACUGAUCGGCCACAUUGGGACUGAGACACGGCCCAAACUCCUACGGGAGGCAGCAGCC